GGGCAAUUAACUCAGCUGGUAGAGUGCUUCCGUCACAUGGAAGAAGUCAGGGGUUCGAGUCCCUUAUUGCCCACCA
rnacentral:tRNA from 2 species